CCUUUUGCUAGCCUAGCUAUAUAUAACCCGGCGCCAUUUUCUGUCCUUCAUGCCCGCGUGUGCUAACACACACUGCAGGCUCAUGCCAUUCUUUGCUUCUUCUGCCACACCAAUGAUACCAUUGUUGUCUGUUUCCAGAGAGAUGAAGCGCCACUCUAAGCUGCUGGGUUAGGACAGGGCGAAGACGAGACCACCAAUUUUUGGCGGUAGAUGAGCCGGCGCUGGCGCUGUAACCGGAGAGAUUAGAUUAAUUGAUCCAACAUUGUCCAAUAGGGCUCUCUCACUGGGGAGGCAUGCCGUGAUAUUUGAGUUAUGGCAUCGUACCCGUAGAUCAUAUACAAUGUUAUAAUCACGACUCCAGGUAGUUCAGGAUACGUACGUAGCUGCACGAAGACAGCUGAAGCUGUGCAAAGGAAUAAGAAGAAGAAAAAUGAACCCUGAACUUGGUUGGUGCUUGAUCUAACUUGAACCUCCUAUGAAAUUGUGUAUACUAAGAGACCAUAAACUCUAGUGCAAGUUUGGAUAGUGGAUUCACAUUUUCUUUUGCUUUCAAAAAAUGUUCAAAGGAUUCAGAAUGUAUCGUGGAGGGUUUAUGGUUUCA